GACUCUCGGCAACGGAUAUCUAGGCUCUCGCAUCGAUGAAGAACGUAGCGAAAUGCGAUACUUGGUGUGAAUUGCAGAAUCCCGUGAACCAUCAAGUUUUUGAACGCAAGUUGCGCCCGAAGCCAUUAGGCUGAGGGCACGUCUGCCUGGGCGUCA
rnacentral:rRNA from 1 species